ensembl:lncRNA
GUUCAUUAUUUGGCUGAGGUAUUUGCAGGGCCCGGCCGCGCAGCCUUGCUCAAACUUCUCCUUACCUGGCCCUCAUUGCAGCAAAAAAAGAAAAUGGAUAGAGGGAAAAAAUGGACUUCAUGGGUGGUUUUUCAGCCUCCAUCCCCUCAGGAGACCAGAGAUGCCAGAUGAGGAUCCGAGAGGCUGAGUAACUUGCCUGAGGAAAAACAGUCAAAGAGUGGAAGUAUCACUUGGCUGCAUCUGGAUCCAGAGUCCCUGCGCUUUCCACUGCCCUACUUAGAUGGCCCUGGGUCUCCUAUAAUAUCAGCACAGCCUGGUGCCCCCAAGGCUUUGAAAAAGUCCCACAGAUUGGAACCCAGCUCAGCUCCCAGGCACCCCCCAGGUCGGGAGGGAGAAUGCAGCUUUAGAACCUUAGCUGUCACCUCUGCCACCACCUUCUUCCCGGCAGAGGGACUCCCUCCAAGACUGGGUAAGGGUGUGAAAAAGGGGCAGCAGUGGGCAGGAUGGGGGUCAGACGCCGAGAGGGUAGCAAAGAUUGGAGCAUCAGGAAGUGAACAUGCCUGGGACUGUUGGGGAGCAGCGAUCCAGGGAGAGAGCUUGGUGUUUGGGGAUUCGACUGAGGCCUGUGAAGGAGAAGCAGAUGGGGCCUGGGGCUCCCCCAGAGUGUGGCCCUUCCCUGUCCCUUCUGCUCCCUCUCCAUCUUUAAAAAAUUUUAUUU